rnacentral:rRNA from 1 species
CAGUAGCCGCGGGAAAACAGAGGGUGCGAGCGUUAAUCGGAUUUACUGGGCGUAAAGCGUGCGUAGGCGGCUUUUUAAGUCGGAUGUGAAAUCCCUGAGCUUAACUUAGGAAUUGCAUUCGAUACUGGGAAGCUAGAGUAUGGGAGAGGAUGGUAGAAUUCCAGGUGUAGCGGUGAAAUGCGUAGAGAUCUGGAGGAAUACCGAUGGCGAAGGCAGCCAUCUGGCCUAAUACAGACGCUGAGGUACGAAAGCAUGGGGAGCAAACAGGAUUAGAUACCCCUGUAGUCCCUGUCUCUUAUAA